rnacentral:rRNA from 1 species
UACGUAGGGUGCAAGCGUUGUCCGGAAUUAUUGGGCGUAAAGAGCUCGUAGGCGGUCUGUCACGUCGGCUGUGAAAACCCGAGGCUCAACCUCGGGCCUGCAGUCGAUACGGGCAAACUAGAGUACUGCAGGGGAGACUGGAAUUCCCGGUGUAGCGGUGAAAUGCGCAGAUAUCAGGAGGAACACCGGUGGCGAAGGCGGGUCUCUGGGCAGUUACUGACGCUGAUGAGCGAAAGCCUGGGGAGCGAACAGG